CAUAUAUAUAUAUUAACUUUAAUUUUUGGAAAUGCUACUCUGUUUUUAAUGAAGCUGGAGUUGGUUGCUUGUGAGUGUAAGCAUGCUAUUGUUUUGUAUUAUUGUAUGCUUCAAUGUUAUCUUGAAAAAUAUUUGUUUAAUCAUAGUUCUGUUGAGUAAAAUAAUAUUUCGUUGGUCUUGUUAAGUUGUUCUUAUUAAUUAAACUGCUGAUUAGGUGUAUUUAUGGUUCAUUCAUGCAUGGAUAUGGUUUCUUUCUUCUUCUUCUUUUCUGAAACUGGUCCCACUAAAGAUCAUUCUUUGGAUAAUAACUAAUGAUCGUGCUUUUUCCACCGUUUGAUUAAUCGAAUCAUGUCACUGGUUUUGACUUAUUGCAAGAAUGAUUUAAUUUGCAUAUUUGUAUUUUUUUUCUCAGUUUUAUAUGUUGUUUUUCAUUGAUUCAUGCAACUAUUGUCUGUUUGUAAACCUACAGUUAAAUAUAUAAUUAGGGAGGUAUUGUUUUAAAUUAUGCUGUUGUGAUU